UACGUAGGGUGCAAGCGUUACUCGGAAUUACUGGGCGUAAAGCGUGCGCAGGCGGCUUUGCAAGUCAGAUGUGAAAUCCCCGGGCUUAACCUGGGAACUGCAUUUGUGACUGCAUGGCUGGAGUGCGGCAGAGGGGGAUGGAAUUCCGCGUGUAGCAGUGAAAUGCGUAGAUAUGCGGAGGAACACCGAUGGCGAAGGCAAUCCCCUGGGCCUGCACUGACGCUCAUGCACGAAAGCGUGGGGAGCAAACAGG
rnacentral:rRNA from 1 species